rnacentral:rRNA from 1 species
AUUGAACGCUGGCGGCAGGCCUAACACAUGCAAGUCGAGCGAACGGCGGACGGGUGAGUAAUGUAUGGGGACUGCCCGAUAGAGGGGGAUAACUACUGGAAACGGUGGCUAAUACCGCCUACUAUCGGAAAACCCAUAGGGGAUUAGCUAGUAGGUGGGGUAAAGGCUCACCUAGGCCACGAUGUCUAGCUGGUCUGCGAGGAUGAUCAGACACACUGGGACUGAGACCCGGCCCAGACUCCUACGGAGGCAGCAGUGGGGAAGAUUGCACAAUGGGCGCAAGCCGGAUGCAGCCAUGCCGCGUGUAUGAAGAAGGCCUUAGGGUUGUAAAGUACUUUCAGCGGGGAGGCGUUACCCGCAUAAGAAGCACCGGCUAACUCCGUGCCAGCCGCCGCGGUAAUAC